ACAUGAUCUCAAGACAUUGGGGAUGUUAAAUUGCCAAGGGAUUUUUGAUAUCUCAAACUGUUUGCCCGUGGCGAGGCAGUGAAGUUAUGGCGAGAAAUGAGAAACAGGAAGCGUCUAAUAACAUCCACAUACAUUGUCUAAUUUUGAUCAAACUUCAGGGGUUUGUUCGUUGUAUGAUACC